rnacentral:rRNA from 1 species
UACGUAGGGACCAAGCGUUGUUCGGAUUUACUGGGCGUAAAGGGCGCGUAGGCGGCAAUUCAAGUCAGCUGUGAAAUCUCCGAGCUUAACUCGGAACGGUCAGCUGAUACUGCUUUGCUAGAGUGCAGAAAGGGCAAUCGGAAUUCUUGGUGUAGCGGUGAAAUGCGUAGAUAUCAAGAGGAACACCUGAGGCGAAGGCGGGUUGCUAGGCUGACACUGACGCUGAGGCGCGGAAAGCUAGGGUAGCAAACGGG